GGGUGAGUAACACGUGGAUAACCUACCUAUAAGACUGGGAUAACUUCGGGAAACCGGAGCUAAUACCGGAUAAUAUUUUGAACCGCAUGGUUCAAAAGUGAAAGACGGUCUUGCUGUCACUUAUAGAUGGAUCCGCGCUGCAUUAGCUAGUUGGUAAGGUAACGGCUUACCAAGGCAACGAUGCAUAACCGACCUGAGAGGGUGAUCGGCCACACUGGAACUGAGACACGGUCCAG
rnacentral:rRNA from 1 species